CAGCCCUCCUCCAUCCUGUGUGCCCACGUCUUCCCGUGAUCAAUGUGGACAGUGCUUUGCCCUGGUGUAACCCACACUGCGCAAGUUGAGACACAGAGAGCCACGCAACAGAAAAAAGGAGCUGUCGAAGACCACGUUACCACAGGGCCAAGCGGCAGAGCGUCACUUCCCUGCCACAGCUGGGCACAGGUGGCUGAGGCCCCAGCUGAGCAAGCUGUCAGGAGCAGAACAGUGGUCAGCUGACAGGGACCUGCCAUGGACCCCGGAAGGACCAGUGGCCACUCCGGGCCUCCCCACGGCUGACUCUGCCCCAGGGAGCCCCGCGUAUCCCUGUCCCUGGGCAGUGAGCUAAACGGAGAGAUCUCAGGUACUCCCAGCGGGAGUGGUUCCUGCUGACCUGGGGUCUUCAUUUCUAGAAGCCUGGCCAAGGGCCCCAGGUUGCUGACUCUGUGUCCAUGUGCCCAUCCUCAGCUGCCCCUGUGCGCCGCUGUGGCCGUCUGGGCUCUGCCUCCCCACAAUGUCUCCCAUCCUCCCUGGGGUGCAGGGUCAGUCCCUGCCUUCCUGCUCUCUGCCCCCGCUGGGCACUGGAUGGCUGGCUACCUGGCUUUGCCUGGGUGGAGAAUGACCCUCGUUCAUCCAGCUGGGACCCGGGGGAAGGCGGAGGGGUCCGGGCAGCAAGGGCCCCUGCUCUGGUGGCUCAGGCCCACACCUGGGAGGCCCUCCGAUGGCCUUGCCUUCAUCUCAGGGCAGCACCAGCCCUCUCCCUCACCCCGGGCUUCCUCCAGGGCCCUGACUCCCACCAGCCCGGUUCCCCAGCACAGCUCCUGCUCAAACACAAAUUGGGUCGUUUCACUCAUUCUGAGUGGGCCUAGGGGUGGCACCUGACACCAACCUCACGUGGCUCUUGGGAGGACACUGCUGUCACCACGUGGAGUGGCUACUCCGCCCUCCCCUCCUACACCCUCCACUCCUAGGCCUGUCCUUGAAGCUGGGCACUUUGUCUCACCACAACGACAAUCUUACAGGAAAAACGGACUGGAGGUGUGGCCCGAGCAGUGCAGCGCCUGCUUUGCAAGUGCGAAGCCCUGAGUCAAACCCCAGUCCCACCAAAAGAAAUCCGUAAACUUACAGGAAACGAGAAUAAACUGGAGGCUCGUUCUCCUCACGCUACGCACGCUGAUAGCAAAGCGUGAGCUUGCGGUCUGAGCUAGCUCGACCCUCUUCUAAGGGACAGACCCAAGCCAUGCCCGGGGCACACUUGGUUCUGAGGCCGGCAGAGCCACUCUGCACGGUGCUCAUUCCAGAGCCCGAAGU